rnacentral:rRNA from 1 species
CAGCCGCCGCGGUAAUACCGGCGGCCCGAGUGGCGGCCACUAUUAUUGGGCUUAAAGCGUCCGUAGCCGGGUUGGUUAGUCUCCCGGGAAAUCUGGCCGCUUAACGGUCAGAAUUCCGGGAGAUACUGCCAGCCUAGGGACCGGGAGAGGCCGAGGGUAUUCCCGGAGUAGGGGUGAAAUCCUAUAAUCCCGGGAGGACCACCUGUGGCGAAGGCGCUCGGCUGGAACGGGUCCGACGGUGAGGGACGAAGGCCAGGGGAGCAAACCGGAUUAGAUGCCCGGGUAGUCCUGGCUGUAAACGAUGCGGGCUAGGUGUCGGGUGAGCUUCGAGCUCGCCCGGUGCCGUAGGGAAGCCGUUAAGCCCGCCGCCUGGGGAGUACGGCCGCAAGGCUGAAACUUAAAGGAAUUGGCGGG